rnacentral:rRNA from 1 species
UACGGGGGGGGCAAGCGUUGUUCGGAAUUACUGGGCGUAAAGGGCUCGUAGGCGGCCAACUAAGUCAGACGUGAAAUCCCUCGGCUUAACCGGGGAACUGCAUCUGAUACUGGAUGGCUUGAGAUUGGGAGAGGGAUGCGGAAUUCCAGGUGUAGCGGUGAAAUGCGUAGAUAUCGGGAGGAACCCCAGAGGCGAAGGCGGCGCCCUGGCUCGCAACUGACGCUCAGACACGACAGCAUGGGGAGCGAACGGG